rnacentral:rRNA from 1 species
GACGAACGCUGGCGGCGUGCUUAACACAUGCAAGUCGAACGGAAAGGCCCUGCUUUUGUGGGGUGCUCGAGUGGCGAACGGGUGAGUAACACGUGAGUAACCUGCCCUUGACUUUGGGAUAACUUCAGGAAACUGGGGAUAAUACCGGAUAGGAGCUCCUGCUGCAUGGUGGGGGUUGGAAAGUUUCGGCGGUUGGGGAUGGACUCGCGGCUUAUCAGCUUGUUGGUGGGGUAGUGGCUUACCAAGGCUUUGACGGGUAGCCGGCCUGAGAGGGUGACCGGCCACAUUGGGACUGAGAUACGGCCCAGACGCCUACGGGAGGCAGCAGGGGGGAAUAUUGCACAAUGGGCGGAAGCCUGAGGCAGCAACGCCGCGUGCUGGAUGACGGCCUUCGGGUUGUAAACCGCUUUCGCCUGUGACGAAGCGUGAGUGACGGUAAUGGGUAAGGAAGCACCGGCUAACUACGUG